rnacentral:lncRNA from 1 species
CAUCCACCCCUCAAGCUAGGGAAGAUGGAGCGUCAUGGAGGAAUGAGAUUUUAAAUUCUUUUUUAAUUAACAAGGCAACGAUGGAUCUAAUAUUUGAAUUAAGGAAAUACGCAUAUCAUCUAGGGAACCUCAAGGCAUGAAGAAACGGAUACUGUAGUAAGAGAGGAAACACAAAAUAAUCGGCUAAAAAUCCUGGAUGAAAGACGAGCACUGCUUCCAAAUGGGAACAGCAUUUGCUACAAGAGCCCAAGAGGUUCAAUAUUAAUUACACAGUUCAACAGUCAUGCAAGGCUGCAGUAUGUCACCUUAGGAUUUGUCUCAUGCGAAGAAUCAAGCUUGCCACAUUUGAAACACUCGUGUUGCUUGUACUGGCAGUUCAAGCAAAU